rnacentral:rRNA from 1 species
AAGUCGUAACAAGGUUUCCGUAGGUGAACCUGCGGAAGGAUCAUUAUAGAAAAUGACGUGAACUCUUAACGGAGUUCUCUCAAAGUGUUGGAGGGGAAGGCCUGCGCUUAAUUGCGCGGCUGUUUUUUAAUCUCCUCCGCCCUUGAUACACACAUUGGAGUUUCUACUUUUUUGUUCUCUUUGGGAGGGUUCUGCUCUCCCAGAGGUAAACACAAACAAUCUUUUAUUAUACUAUUAACACAGUCAAAUGAAUUUUAAAAACAAAAUAUUCAAAACUUUCAACAACGGAUCUCUUGGUUCUCGCAUCGAUGAAGAACGCAGCGAACUGCGAUACGUAAUGUGAAUUGCAGAAUUCCGUGAAUCAUCGAAUCUUUGAACGCACAUUGCGCCCCUUGGUAUUCCGGGGGGCAUGCCUGUUUGAGCGUCAUUUCCCUCUCAAACUUUACGUUUGGUAGUGAGCGAUACUCUACUCUGGAGUUUGCUUGAAAAUGGGAGGCCAUAGGCGAAGCAUUGCUUUCCAAUCCUGCGGCCCUCUGCUUACUUCCCCUUGUGGGUUGUGGCAGGGGAAAGCGGGAGGCGCCUUGCCACGAUAGUCGUAUUAGGUUCUACCGACUCGGCGAAAGUGAAGAGGUUUGCUUUUUAAAAAGAAGCAGGCAGCGUCUGGCUUGACAAAAUUCUCAAAGUUUGACCUCAAAUCAGGUAGGAUUACCCGCUGAACUUAA